AGCGUUCUGCUUUCCUGGUGUGGUGCUGGAGUUUCCCUUACACGAGCAGAGCAGGGCGCUGGG
ensembl:miRNA MIR12275 microRNA mir-12275